UCAUCAGGUAGGAUAAUCCUCACCUGUUCCUCCUUUUGGAGGGCAGAUACAGAGCGAAGUAAGUCAGAAAGAGAAGAACAAAUAUCGUACCAUAUCGCUUAU